rnacentral:lncRNA from 1 species
UCCGUUCAAUAUACAUCGUUCUCUCGGCAAACAAAAUUUCUCACAAAUAUCCAAAAAAUCCUUCAAUAAAACUUCCAACACGAUCGAUAACAAGUAACGGAGAAGAAUCGGAGGAUCAUACCGCUCUGAUACCAUGAAAAGAAUGGACCUUGGGCCUAACUCAACCCCAAAAGCUAGCUUAUGAGGUGAGGAUUGCCCAAGCUAUAUAAGGAGACCAAGGACNNNNNNNNNNNNCCCCAAAAGCUAGCUUAUGAGGUGAGGAUUGCCCAAGCCAUAUAAGGAGACCAAGGACCUCAAAUCCCUCCGAUGUGGGACAACUCAACACCCUCUCUCACGCCCAAAUAUCUGGAGCGUGGACAACAUAAAUGGGAGCCCAACAUCGGUAACAAUAAUUGGGAUGAAAACGUACAGAUUGAAGGCAAAAUAAUGAAGGACACAGUGAGAGAAAGAGAGAGAAGUUGGUAGAACUCUCUGGAACAACCGAGAGUCAAAAUGAAAUACUUACCCCAAAAUAUCUGUCUCUAUACAGAUAUACACAAAUAAUAUAGCUUGGGUCGGGUCAGACGGCCCAAGUGUAAAAUGUAAUAAGAAUUGGGCUCAGAAUACACUAAUGCCCAAAUAGCUAGCUAAGCCUACGAUAUACAAAAUAUACAAUGAAUAUACAACAAAUAUACAACCCAAUAUCAACCAAUAUUAAUGUCUAUGUUUAGGUUUGGAGGCUAAAUAAUCUUGUAGCUCAAUACUUAUAUAUAUCAUGAAUUUGUUCGCAUAUAAUAGAAUUUAACGGGAUAUUUUUUGAAAUUCAAAAAAAAUGUAAAAGCAAAUGAAAUUACUACCAUGAAAAAUAGCGUGACACCUGCCAUGAAUUUGGGAAGACCGAAGAGAACCAAAAAUCAAGGAUAAAAAGAAGAACAGAUAAGAUAUGGACAAAAACUGAAAUAUGAUCAAACGUGAAGUUAUAAGUUAAACCACCGAAGACGAAGAAAAGCAAAAAUUAUGAGAGACCCAGCUAGAAGAUCAGUGUAAAUGAAGAGGUGUAGCAGUUUGAAGUGUGAAGAUGACGAAAAU